rnacentral:rRNA from 1 species
GACAGAGGGUGCGAACGUUGUUCGGAAUUACUGGGCGUAAAGGGCGCGUAGGCGGUCGUGACAAGUCACUUGUGAAAUCUCCGGGCUUAACUCGGAAAGGUCAAGUGAUACUGUCGGACUAGAGUACAGAAGGGGCAACUGGAAUUCUCGGUGUAGCGGUGAAAUGCGUAGAUAUCGAGAGGAACACCUGCGGCGAAGGCGGGUUGCUGGGCUGAUACUGACGCUGAGGCGCGAAAGCUAGGGGAGCGAACGGG